rnacentral:lncRNA from 1 species
CUUUUUUUCCCUUUUGUUUUCCCUACUUCAUUCCAGAUACCUAUAGUGAACUGGAUGAAGCAUUGUUCUGGGCAUUAGUCGUGGGGAGAGGCUUUGAGAUACGUUUGGAGAAUAGAAAACAUUCUGGAUGAUGAUGAGAACGUAUUAAAUGUUCCUUACCACCAAAAAGGUGGGGGGGAAGGAGAGGAGAGGAAGAUGCCCUGGAAAUUAAAGGCUAGAUAACUUAGCUUCACUUCUUGGCAUUUCCUUGAACAAAUCAAACUUUUACAAACUAGACAAUAAGGAGAGAGAUUAGUAUCAGAGUGGAUUUGUACAGAACAAGUAUGCAAAGUAUUUUUCUAGUAAUUAUUAUUGAUAAAGAGAAAAAUAGCAGAUAUCAAAUCAACUUGGGACGUGACUUCUGGAGAUCAACAUGACAGUCAGCUAGAUAAAAAGCAUUUUCUCAGCCAGGUAUCUUGGGGUUUUACCAUAUUGCAAAGAGACUAUGACUCAAAACGUUUCUCUUAGCAAUAAAUGAAUAUGCUGUGUGAAGAUAGAUCAGCAAAGGUACUAUGCAUGUGAAAUCUGUUCUGUUCUGCUGUGUGAUAGUACAGUCUCAGCUCAAAUUUGUUGACAUUCUCUCCUGAGCAUGAUUCUUCAUUCAGACUGUUAGAACAUGGACUGCCCACAUCAACACCUUUUAUGGAAGGCAGUUGGUUAUUACUGUAACAUUCUUUGGCUAACUAAUCUUAGUCAAUUUGCCUUUUUUCCCUGGCCUUGACAAAGCUAUUGAGAUUUCUUUAUACUAAAAACAAUAGUAGUAAUAAAAAUAGAAUAUCUAGGACUUAAACUAUUUUCCUUUUUAUUUGCUAUUCAUCUAAAGCAAACUGACUCCAUGACCAACAUCAACAAAAAUGUGUUUGUUUCUAAAAUCACAGAAUCUCAAAAUAGUUGUGACUUAAAAGUUAAGGACUUUAAAAACUUGAGAGCAAGAGCAAAUGUAACUUCUUCCUUUUUUAAGAAAGAAUUAAGGAUUGAAGUUUCAGGACUGAACUUAUCUGCACUAGGAAUAAAUAAAAUGCUAUUUUUCCAUUCUAUUCUUGUUAGUUUUAUUAAUUCCCAGGCUAAGAAAUGUUUUAGCUGGUCUCCAAGGUUUUAUAAGAUAGUUGUAAACUCUGUAAAUAAAGACUUAACAAAGACUGAAAUAACCAUAAAAUCGCUGUUUAAAAUGAAGCCACCUGUUGUCAUUUUGUGUUCUUGAGGGGAAAAAAGCACAGUGAGGUAGAAAAAUAAAAAGUGUAUUAGAAUAUCAGUUAAACAGGUUCUUAAUCCCAAAGUCUCAUUUGCUUCACUGGGAGUGUCUUCACUGAUUUUGAUUAGCGUUUUAUUAACUCAAAUGGAAUACUGUAUCUAGAUCUAAGGGCAACUAUUCACAUGAAUCUGAAUACCAAAUGUUACCUGAAUUCGGAUUGAAGUCUAAAACUUUUGUUUAACUCUCCAAAUUCACUGUAAUCUCUUAGACUGUUCCAUUAUCUCAUCCACCUACUCAUAUUUUCCACUUUACUUAAUAAGAGCUUUGGAAACAAAUCAAACUGAUACUGUUAGCAUAAAUCUGGGAAAGUCAGGCUUUAGCAAUCUGAAAUAUGAAGUCUGUUAUAUUGUGCAGAUAGAACUCUGCCCAAAGAAUUUCAUGCUAAAAGAAACAGUAAUUUAGAUACUCCAGACGAUUAUCAGUUACAUUUACUUUUUCAUACUUUGUCAGUUUCUGAGGUAUCCUGUCAUAUGUUGCAGAUUUUUUUAAUAUCAUGUUUAAUAAUUUGUGCAUCGUGUUUAAUAAUUUGUACCAGUAACAAAUUUUGAAGCAUUUUUACUUUGUUUUUUCACAAGAGAUGGCCUUACACCUUUCUAUAACCUUAACUGAUGAUAAUACAGUACUAACAUAAUGACUAAAGAGAUUCUGAAUGUAGUGAACUUUUUUAUGCUUAAACGGAGCAGAUUUUUGCCACUCUUUGUGGCAAAAAGUGUUAAAGUACUUUCAUUAUCUAGUAGCAACCACACGUCUGGUGGUCCAAGAGAGUGAAAGUCCAGUGAUACUGCUACAUUUGGGGCUUUAAGUUCUCCCAAAAGGCUUUUGCCAUUUGUACAGCUGGUAAAGUCAGCUCAAUUUAUGCAGACUGUGUCAGGUCUUAGAAUCUCAAUUAAUUCAAAAUAAUUUAUUUUGCUAAAUGUUUCCUACUCCUUAUUCAUAUAAAUUAGUGAAGACGUAUCAAUAACAUUACUUACCAGAUGGUUUAUUGGUUGAAGUGGGAAUACUAGUAACGGCAGGCAUGGUUGGUAAGGUAGGUGGCAGAACCUUUAAGUUCUGAUCACUCUGAAUCUCAUUAGUAGAUAUCUGAUUAAUCAUACGAUUGUAAGUAGGAGGCUGGUACACUUUGCUUGGCGGUUGUGGAGUUUGUGGCAGAGGCUUUAUGGAUGGCAUUCUUUGACAGUAUUCUUCUAGCUGGUUAAUUAUUAUUGACUGAUUAUUUGCAAUUGACAUCAAAUGUUGAUACUUGUACUCUAAGUCUUUGUAUUUGUUUGCAAGCUGCAGCAUGUCUGCAGUUUGAUUCAAGAUCUUAUUCUCAAGUUGGGAAAGUUCCAAGGCAUUGUCCCGUUUUCGGAUAAUUUCAUGUAAUAACUGCAUAUAGAGUUGUGUGACACGAGAGUUCAUAUUUCUGCUCUCUUUUCUUAAGAGCUUGACCUCAUUAACAAUCCCACCAUCUACCUCUACCAGUUGCUGGAGAGUUUCUAUUUGUCUCUUUUGUUUAAGGAGUUCAUUGUUAAGUAACUGUAAUUCUUGUUUAUUUACCCUGUUUUCGAGGAGAACCUCAGGUUCUUUAGAAUUCACACAAAUGGCACCUGUCACUCUCUGUUGAGGUACAAUAAAGGUGUAAGUGCAUUUGUCCUGUGGAUCACUGGAACGCUUGUAUCUGUUCAUAUAAAUGAACUCUUGUUCUCUUUCCUCAUCAUUGUCUUCAAAUUCUUGUGUUUUGCUAGCAGCAGUUCCUACAGCAGCUAUAAGCAUUAAACAGAUGAAUCUUGUUGUCAUCAUGAUCCUCUAUUUCUGGUCAAAUAUUCUUCUGCAAAGAACUUCAUAAAAUCCUGCCUCCUUCGUCUUCUUUCUUCUGUCCUUAGCGUGCUUUCAUCAAAGUUUAUCAGAACCACUCAUCCGCAGGGGCUGUGACAUCUCUCUUGGCUGUUGGUAUCAUACACACAACUCUUCCGUGACGGUAGCCUGAAGUCUGUAGCUGGGUAGCUGCUGCACUUAAGUUCAAUAAGCAAAUAUCUAGAUGUUCUACAAAAAUAUUCCCUUUCUUUUUUGUUUGUUUUUUUAAAGAUUUUUCACAGCAUGGCCAUGUGUCCGUACAGUAUUACUGUUGAGACACAGGCUUCCUUUUGGUAGGAGAGAACUUGG